rnacentral:rRNA from 1 species
AUUGAACGCUGGCGGCAUGCCUUACACAUGCAAGUCGAACGGCAGCACGGGAGCAAUCCUGGUGGCGAGUGGCGAACGGGUGAGUAAUGUAUCGGAACGUACCUUUCAGUGGGGGAUAACGUAGCGAAAGUUACGCUAAUACCGCAUAUUCUGUGAGCAGGAAAGCAGGGGGAUCGCAAGACCUUGCGCUGAUUGAGCGGCCGAUAUCAGAUUAGCUAGUUGGUGAGGUAAAGGCUCACCCAGGCGACGAUCUGUAGCGGGUCUGAGAGGAUGAUCCGCCACACUGGAACUGAGACACGGUCCAGACUCCUACGGGAGGCAGCAGUGGGGAAUUUUGGACAAUGGGCGCAAGCCUGAUCCAGCCAUGCCGCGUGAGUGAAGAAGGCCUUCGGGUUGUAAAGCUCUUUCAGCCGGGAAGAAAACGCAUGGGUUAAUACCCUGUGUGGAUGACGGUACCGGAAUAAGAAGCACCGGCUAACUACGUG